rnacentral:rRNA from 1 species
UACGUAGGGACCAAGCGUUGUUCGGAUUUACUGGGCGUAAAGGGCGCGUAGGCGGCGUGGUAAGUCACUUGUGAAAUCUCUGAGCUUAACUCAGAACGGCCAAGUGAUACUGCUGUGCUAGAGUGCAGAAGGGGCAAUCGGAAUUCUUGGUGUAGCGGUGAAAUGCGUAGAUAUCAAGAGGAACACCUGAGGUGAAGACGGGUUGCUGGGCUGACACUGACGCUGAGGAGCGAAAGCGUGGGGAGCGAACAGG